rnacentral:misc_RNA from 1 species
UCAACUUAAUAGUACUAGAUAGAUAGGAACCCCAGCUCUCAGCUCAUAAUUUUAUCCGAUUGGUAAAUCGAUUUCCUGCAAGACGGCUUACUUUAAACUCUCAGCUUUAUUCGUUUGUUUACAUAAACUGUGCAGAGAAUAAAACAUCUGAGCAGCUAUGGUCCUUCCAUCCUGGAGGGAGGAGAAAUGCACGACGCGAAAUCUGCGAACUUUCUGGAUUAGAUCCCAGGCUCUUCGGCUCUAAGCCAGUCUGACGCCCAUUCAUACACCGCCGAAUCAAACGAUGGGCUACAGCUUCAAAGCGGAGAGCUUACAUAUGUACCCUUCGCUUUGCCACAAACCGAGUCGUAUCCGACUUUCGCCGCCAAAAGGAGUCCUAUCCAAGCAUUACCGAGGCGUAUUCGAGAUAGACCGAGUCCAAUCCCAGCCAGACAGAAUCGUAUCCCAGCAGGACAGAUGCGCACCCCUGCAAGAUCCGAACGUAAGAAGCCAUCGUCAUUCAAGGACUUUGACAAUGACAACCAAAGGAGAGGCUGCGGGAGCUACUAGAUUUUAGAUAGAUAUCCUUGUUGUUAGGUUUAAGAUAGAUACAAAUUGUAUCCACUUGUUUAUUUAUUUAUACUAAGCUAUGUUCUGAUCAAUAAAGUUAUUGAAAAAUCA